UUGAGGCAGCAGCAAGGAAUAUUGGGCAAUGGGCGAAAGCCUGACCCAGCGACGCCGCGUGGGGGAAGAAGGCCUUCGGGUUGUAAACCCCUUUUCUCAGGGAAGAAUAAUGACGGUACCCGAGGAAUAAGCCUCGGCUAACUACGUGCCAGCAGCCGCGGUAAUACGUAGGAGGCGAGCGUUAUCCGGAUUUACUGGGCGUAAAGAGGGCGUAGGCGGCUUUUCAAGUCGGAUGUGAAAUCUCCCGGCUCAAUCGGGAGGGGUCAUUCGAUACUGGUGGGCUAGAGGGCAGCAGAGGGAGGUGGAAUUCCCGGUGUAGUGGUGAAAUGCGUAGAUAUCGGGAGGAACACCAGUGGCGAAGGCGGCUUCCUAGGCUGUUUCUGACGCUGAGGCCCGAAAGCGUGGGGAGCGAACAGGAUUAGAUACCCUGGUAGUCCACGCCGUAAACGAUGGACACUAG
rnacentral:rRNA from 1 species